rnacentral:rRNA from 1 species
UACACUCCUACGGGAGGCAGCAGUGGGGAAUCUUGCGCAAUGGGCGAAAGCCUGACGCAGCCAUGCCGCGUGAAUGAUGAAGGUCUUAGGAUUGUAAAAUUCUUUCACCGGGGACGAUAAUGACGGUACCCGGAGAAGAAGCCCCGGCUAACUUCGUGCCAGCAGCCGCGGUAAUACGAAGGGGGCUAGCGUUGCUCGGAAUUACUGGGCGUAAAGGGAGCGUAGGCGGACAUUUAAGUCAGGGGUGAAAUCCCGGGGCUCAACCUCGGAAUUGCCUUUGAUACUGGGUGUCUUGAGUAUGAGAGAGGUGUGUGGAACUCCGAGUGUAGAGGUGAAAUUCGUAGAUAUUCGGAAGAACACCAGUGGCGAAGGCGACACACUGGCUCAUUACUGACGCUGAGGCUCGAAAGCGUGGGGAGCAAACAGGAUUAGAUACCCCUGUAGUCCCAUG